CACGUAGGGCGCGAGCGUUGUCCGGAAUUAUUGGGCGUAAAGAGCUCGUAGGCGGCCUGUUGCGUCCGCUGUGAAAGCCCGGGGCUUAACCCCGGGUCUGCAGUGGAUACGGGCAGGCUAGAGGUAGGUAGGGGAGAAUGGAAUUCCCGGUGUAGCGGUGAAAUGCGUAGAGAUCCGGAAGAACACCAGUGGCGAAGGCGGCCCGCUGGGCAGUGGCUGACGCUGAGGCGCGACAGCGUGGGGAGCAAACAGG
rnacentral:rRNA from 1 species